CCUACGGGAGGCAGCAGUCGAGAAUCUUUCACAAUGGGGGAAACCCUGAUGGAGCGACGCCGCGUGGAGGAUGAAGGUCUUCGGAUUGUAAACUCCUGUCAUGAAAGAACAAGCAAUGUGGGUAAACAGCCUGCAAAGUUGAUAGUAUUUCAAGAGGAAGGGACGGCUAACUUCGUGCCAGCAGCCGCGGUAAU
rnacentral:rRNA from 1 species